AGUCGUAACAAGGUUUCCGUAGGUGAACCUGCGGAAGGAUCAUUGUCGAAACCUGCAGAGCAGAACGACCCGCGAACACGUUUCACCACGGGGGGGAGCCACGGGUGCGAGAGCCCUCGCGAUUCUCCUCCGCCGACGGGGUGAGGGCGUUCCGCGCGCUCCCGUGCCAAAUGCGCGCGAGCCGCGUCUCUCUUGCUCCUGCGGCACAACAACGAACCCCGGCGCGGACUGCGCCAAGGAAAUUAACAAGAGAGCAUGCCCCGGCCGCCCCGGAAACGGGGAGCGUGCUGGAAGCAGCGCGUUCUUUUUCGAUCCAUAACGACUCUCGGCAACGGAUAUCUCGGCUCUCGCAUCGAUGAAGAACGUAGCGAAAUGCGAUACUUGGUGUGAAUUGCAGAAUCCCGUGAACCAUCGAGUCUUUGAACGCAAGUUGCGCCCCAAGCCUUCAGGCCGAGGGCACGUCUGCCUGGGUGUCACGCACCGUCGCCCCCAAUCCCCUCGCCUCCGAAGAGGCAGGGGAGUUGCGGAGGGCGGACAUUGGCCUCCCGUGAGCUGCGGCUCGCGGUUGGCCCAAAUGAGACCUCGGCGGUGGACGCCGCGACGUUCGGUGGUGGAAAAUGCCUCGAGCUCACGUCGCGGGUCCGUCGUCGGACCAAGGCUCACCGACCCUGAAGCGUCGUCUGCAGCGCACGCAUUGCGACCCCA
rnacentral:rRNA from 1 species